UACGUAGGGUGCGAGCGUUUAAUCGGAAUUACUGGGCGUAAAGCGUGCGCAGGCGGUUUUGUAAGACAGGCGUGAAAUCCCCGGGCUCAACCUGGGAAUUGCGCUUGUGACUGCAAGGCUGGAGUGCGGCAGAGGGGGAUGGAAUUCCGCGUGUAGCAGUGAAAUGCGUAGAUAUGCGGAGGAACACCGAUGGCGAAGGCAAUCCCCUGGGCCUGCACUGACGCUCAUGCACGAAAGCGUGGGGAGCAAACAGG
rnacentral:rRNA from 1 species